rnacentral:lncRNA from 1 species
GUGAGUAAUGUGUAGGAAGUGUGAAGAGGCUGUAAGAAAAGAUAAACACUUGUAUUUUAUUACAUUAUUUGUUUAUUGAUGUUUUUUAUUCUUAGCAGUGGGUGUAGACCAAGGCCGGACUGUCUCCUGAACUCGCCGUUUAACAGAUCCGGAGAUUGUAGGGAUGAGAGAGUGGGCAGAAACGGUUAAGGUAGGGGUGGUUGGAGCAGGGCUGGUUAAGGUAGGGGAGGUUGGGGCAGGGCUGGUUAAGGUAGGGGAGGUUGGGGCAGGGCUGGUUAAGGUAGGGGAGGUUGGGGCAGGGCUGGUUAAGGUAGGGGUGGUUGGGGCAGGGCUGGUUAAGGUAGGGGAGGUUGGGGCAGGGCUGGUUAAGGUAGGGGAGGUUGGGGCAGUUUGUGAAGGCUGGGUGGAAUGGGUUGUGAUUACCGGUAAUGGGAAUGGGGAAAAUAAGAAAUCAAAGUGUGGUGCAGUAGGUGAUAUUAAUGUGAGGGGACUGGACAUGGAGGCUGAUGGUGUUCCCAGAGGAAGGGUGGGGGAGGCACUGGCAGUUCUUGAACUCACAGGCGUCUGGUGUUCUAGGGCGACUGACCCGGAGACAGAGAGCUGCCGAAGCACCUCCCGGGCCUCCCCUUCCCCCAGGCGAUCCUUCUCCAGCUGAAGGCGCUCCCUCUCCACCUGCAGGCGCUCUGUCUCCACCUUCAAGCGCUCUCUAUCCAGCUGGAGCCGGUUCUUCUCCACAUCCAGGUGUGCCUUCUGUGUUUCAUGUGCUUUUUGUAAUAAAUCAUAAAGAGCUUGGUGGAUGUGUUGGGCGGUCUGUGUAACAUGGAUUUGUUGUGUUUGUGUGUCCAGGAUUUGUUGGAACAGAGUGGCUUGGGGGCCCUGUGGUAUCCAGCCAGACGUGAUGGGUUGGGGUGUAGAGCCAGAGUGGAUGGAGUGAGCUGGUGCAGGACAGUAGGUGAUGUGUUGGGGUGUAGAGCCAGAGUGAGAUGGUGCAGGACAGGAGGUGAUGGGUUGGGGUGUAGAGCCAGAGUGGAUGGAGUGAGAUGGUACAGGACAGGCGGUGAUGGGUUGGGGUGUAGAGCCAGAGUGAGCUGGUGCAGGACAGGAGGUGAUGGGUUGGGGUGUAGAGCCAGAGUGAGCUGGUGCAGGACAGGAGGUGAUGGUUUGGGGUGUAGAGCCAGAGUGGAUGGAUUGAG